GUUGGGUUAAGUCCCGCAACGAGCGCAACCCUUGACUUUAGUUGCCAGCAUUGAGUUGGGCACUCUAGAGUGACUGCCGGUGACAAACCGGAGGAAGGCGGGGAUGACGUCAAAUCAUCAUGCCCCUUAUGACCUGGGCUACACACGUACUACAAUGGCCGGUACAACGGGAAGCGAAGCCGCGAGGUGGAGCCAAUCYUUAGAAGCCGGUCUCAGUUCGGAUUGCAGGCUGCAACUCGCCUGCAUGAAGUCGGAAUUGCUAGUAAUCGCGGAUCAGCAUGCCGCGGUGAAUACGUUCCCGGGUCUUGUACACACCGCCCGUCACACCACGAGAGUUUACAACACCCGAAGUCGGUGGGGUAACCGCARGGAGCCAGCCGCCGAAGGUGGGGUAAAUGAUUGGGGUGAAGUCGUAACAGGUANCCGUAUCGGAAGGUGCGGCUGGAUCACCUCCUUUCUGCGGCCGCU
rnacentral:rRNA from 1 species